AUUGAACGCUGGCGGCAGGCCUAACACAUGCAAGUCGAACGAGUGGCGGACGGGUGAGUAAUGUCUGGGAAACUGCCUGAUGGAUGGGGAUAACUACUGGAAACGGUAGCUAAUACCGCAUACCAUCGGAUGUGCCCAGAUGGGAUUUGCUUGUUGGUGGGGUAACGGCUCACCAAGGCGACGAUCCCUAGCUGGUCUGAGAGGAUGACCAGCCACACUGGAAGUGAGAGACGGUCCAUACUCCUACGGGAGGCAGCAGUGGGGAAUAUUGAACAAUGGGCGCAAGCCUGAUGCAGCCAUGCCGCGUGUAUGAAGAAGGCCUUGGGGUUGUAAAGUACUUUCAGCGGGGAGGCGUUACCCGCAGAAGAAGCACCGGCUAACUCCGUGCCAGCAGCCGCGGUAAUUC
rnacentral:rRNA from 1 species